UACGUAGGGGGCGAGCGUUGUCCGGAGUUACUGGGCGUAAAGGGCAUGCAGGCGGUCCGACACGUUUUGUGUGACAGCGGGUGGCUUAACUACCCGAGGAUACGAAAGACGGUUGGACUUGAGGACUCGAGAGGGACACGGAAUUCCGGGUGUAGUGGUGGAAUGCGUAGAUAUCCGGAGGAACACCAGUGGCGAAAGCGGCUCUCUGGGGGCAACCUGACGCUGAGGCGCGAAAGCGUGGGGAGCGAACCGG
rnacentral:rRNA from 1 species